ACGACCUUACUUGAACAGGAUCUGUUCUAUAGGCUCUUACCUCUGUAUCCUUGAUUACUAAGGAGACAGGCCCCAAACCCUGGUUGAUGAAAUAUGGCCGUGCGAUCAGAGUGUGAUUAACGGCUACGAUCGUCUUUAAAAUCAGUUGCAAAAAAAAAAAAAAGGUUGAAAACAAAACUAUGGAGAUUAGGACACGACGAAGACGUCCGCACAUACCUGAGAUAAGAG
rnacentral:snoRNA from 2 species